GACGAACGCUGGCGGCGUGCUUAACACAUGCAAGUCGAACGGAAAGGCCCUGCUUGCAGGGUACUCGAGUGGCGAACGGGUGAGUAACACGUGGGUUAUCUGCCCUGCACUUCGGGAUAAGCCUGGGAAACUGGGUCUAAUACCGGAUAGGAGCCAUUUUUAGUGUGAUGGUUGGAAAGUUUUUUCGGUGUAGGAUGAGCUCGCGGCCUAUCAGCUUGUUGGUGGGGUAAUGGCCUACCAAGGCGGCGACGGGUAGCCGGCCUGAGAGGGUGGACAGCCACAUUGGGACUGAGAUACGGCCCAGACUCCUACGGGAGGCAGCAGUGGGGAAUAUGGCACAAUGGGCGCAAGCCUGAGGCAGCGACGCCGCGUGGGGGAUGACGGCCUUCGGGUUGGAAACUCCUUUCGCUAGGGACGAAGCUUUUUGUGACGGUACCUAGAUAAGAAGCACCGGCUAACUACGUG
rnacentral:rRNA from 1 species